rnacentral:rRNA from 1 species
AACGAACGCUGGCGGCAUGCCUAACACAUGCAAGUCGAACGGGAUCCUAGCUUGCUAGGUGAGAGUGGCGGACGGGUGAGUAACACGUGGGAAUCUGCCUUUUGGUUCGGGAUAACCGCGGGAAACUGCGGCUAAUACCGAAUGCCUCGAGAGAGGAAAGAUUUAUCGCCAGAAGAGGAGCCCGCGUCCGAUUAGGUAGUUGGUGGGGUAAAGCCUACCAAGCCGACGAUCGGUAGCUGGUCUGAGAGGAUGAUCAGCCACACUGGGACUGAGAUACGGCCCAGACUCCUACGGGAGGC